UCAUCAGGUCCUCCUGAGGUCGUGUCCUGGGUGCAUGUCCUCAACCUUGGCAAAAAAACUUUCUAAAUUAACUGAGACCUGUCUCAAAUUUUCGUGGUUUACACUAACAUCCUACAUCAGUAUGGUUCAUUUGUUAUAAUUAACAAACCAAUAUUGAUACAUUGUUAUUAACCAAGUUCGUACUUUAUUCAGAUUCCCUUAGUUUUUAACCUAAAGUUUUCUUCUCUUCCAGGAUCCCCUCCAGAAGAUCACGUUACAUGUCAUGUCUCCUUAGGGCUUUUCUGGGCUGUGACAGUUUCUCAGACUUUUCUUGUAUUUGAUGACUUAGAAGUUUUGAGGCAUUCUGGACAAAUAUUUUGAAGUCACUGUACACAACCCACACCUGAAGAGUGAGGACUUUGUCUAGGGCUAUACCACCCGGAAUGCGCCCAGUCUCGUCUGAAGAGUGAGGAUAUACAUGUCCAUCCUUACAUGAAGACACGCAGCAAAGGGAAGUACACAGGGCAACAUAAAGAAAGGAAAUGGGCUUUGAAGUUAGGAGACUUGAAGCUGAAUCCUAGCUCCCCAAAUUAUCAGCUGUUUGGUUGUUCUCAGUAAAACUUGUGCAUGUCUAAUCCCAUCUUGGAGACCCAAAGUAACGCGAUGCCUGUCAAGAGUUAGCACAGGGUAAGUGCUUA